rnacentral:tRNA from 1 species
GGGGUUGUAGCUCAGUGGUAGGGCACUUGCCUACCACGCAUGGGGCAUUGGGUCUGAUCCUCAGCACCA